rnacentral:lncRNA from 1 species
UCGAAAAACUGUAACGACCCAACCCACUAGCAAUAAUAACUCGUUGGGCACAACCACUGGUCCAAAAUGCUUAAGCCCAGCAUUUAAGUCUAUUAUAUAGGAUUAUUGGGGUAUGACACACUCCCCCCGUUAAGGUUAAGGCUCUGACUCAUCUCACACUACCAGCUGGUGAACCGGCUCUGAUACCAAAUAUAACGAUCCAGCCCACUGACAAUAAUAACUUAUUGGAUCUAACCACUGGUCCAAAAUGCUUAAGCCCAGCAUUUAAGUCUAUUAUAUAGGAUUAUUGGGGUAUGACACACUCCCCCCGUUAAGGUUAAGGCUCUGACUCAUCUCACACUACCAGCUGGUGAACCGGCUCUGAUACCAAAUAUAACGAUCCAGCCCACUGACAAUAAUAACUUAUUGGAUCUAACCACUGGUCCAAAAUGCUUAAUCUCAGCUAUUAUUACUAGUGUCUACGUCUUAUAUAUAUAUAUAUCCAAUCACAUUCUCAUUCCUAUCCGAUAUGGGAUUAUUGAAGUGUGACAAAAACUCCUUCAGUUAAUUUUAUUUUUCUACAAGAAAAUGACAUAGGAAUGCGGUGCAG